rnacentral:lncRNA from 1 species
AUUGACACCUUGUAAUUGGUCAUCCACAACUCAUAACUGCAGCAAGAUGGCAGAUAUCCAGCGUGACGGAAGCAGGUAUGUCGCUGUGAUAAUUGCACGUAUUGUUAGUAAUCACCAUUCCACUAUAAGUCGUUUUGAGAAUGAAAAUCAGGCAAGAAACGACGUUAAAGACCUUCCGAGGUCAAGAAGACACCCUAUAACAUCUGCUAGGGAAAAUAAAGCAUAAUGAAGGUUGGUCAGAAGGAAACACAUUGCAAACAAUACAAUCCUAAAAAGAGAAUGGUG